AAAUAAUGCUGGGGAGAAGAGAUUGACAGUGAUGCCUAAUGUUGGGAAUUAAGUGUUGGAAGGACUGCCUGUACUAGGCACUCUCAUGAUAAUGAUGCCAGGAAGAUUUAAUUUACCAGUUUGUUCUAGGAAAGGUAAUGACCUUAAUAUCACGGGAAACGUAUCAAGAGGUCAUCCAUGCAGACACACGCUGACUCAUUUUCAUAAUAAAUGGAAAUAGAUGUCCAGCCACACAAAUUUGCUUGCAGGAAAGGAUUUAUGCCAUCUAUCCAGCUCUGUGUUAGUAUCAGAAAAGAUAAAGAACAUUUUAUUGAUAUAUGGGGAUUUAAUUCCAAUGCCUUUGAGAAUCUCUAGGAAAAAAUGCAUUUCCAAUUCAUUUCUGAAGAGAACAAAUAAAAAUCCCCCCCCAAAACCUACCAAAUCAAUAAAGGGAAAAAAUAUCACACUGGAAUAGGGAUGUGCCAUUUCUCCCUAGGUGCUACUCAUUGGUUGCUGGGCCAUAGAUGAAGCACCACAUAAAGCCUCUGUUAGAGAAGAGUGCUUGCACAUGCAUUACCAAGGAUAUGCUCUUCCUGGCUGAGUAAUUCACUUUUGAGCAGCAUAUUUCUGAGAAGGUGAAAAGUGGGUGUCUAAAUGCAACUCCAGCAGCCACUGCAGAAAUGUGACUGUGUAGCCCAAACCCUGGAGGUCUCAGCUGCUGGGGAGAAAUUUCCUUCACAGAUGGGAAUUACAUGUGUUACAUGGCUUUUUCUGUGCUCAUCCACAGGAGGGUUGGCACAGCUACUUUGGCUGGAGAAGACAAGAGCAUGGUCACGAUGCAAGAAAAAACAUGGAAGGGGAACUCUGAUGAACUCCAAAUGGAGUCAUCCAAAAUGCCAUCCAAAUGGCAGAAAGCACAGGAGAUGAGCGCUGCCACGUAAGUGUGCCACCCCUACAACGCACAGUUUAGCUCAUGAUUUCUCAAGCUGGGCUGCAAGUAGUGAGUCACACAGAGAGAGGAGGGUUAUUUCUGGGAAUUUGGUUCUUCAGAGGAAAAACAUGAAACAGUCAGAAAUGACAGAGAAGUGAGAGUACUGGAUGAUGGCAAACAGCAUAUGGGGAGCAGGGGAGAGGAAGAUUUGCCAUCCUUGCUGCAGUAUUACAUCCCAGCCUAAUUCACAUUGAUCUCCAGGGGCCAGCUCAUUUCUGCUGGAAGAAUCUGGCUUCUGGGACUCCAGGUGCUUGCCCUGUUGUCCUCAAGAAGCCUCUGGAGGCUUGAGCAAAGGUUUGGGUGCUGCAGGAGUAAGUCAAAGUUCAGAUCAUUACCUCUAAUUUUCCUGGAAAUACUUCUUCAGAAUUUCUGCUUCAGCUGCCAUUUCUUCUUCUGUCCUCCACUUGUCAGGGGAAUCAUCUUUGUCGUGUCGCUGCAACUUUUUGAGGGAGAAAAGAAUAAAAAUUCAAUUUAUUAUUUUUUCAGUUUGAAUGUCAAAUUUAGGGCAAUCAAUCUAACUAUUCCAAGGGUCUUCAGGAUGGAUGGACCUGGUGAUGAAGAGAGGAAGAGUGAAGGUUGCUAGUUUAGAGUGGUGACAGUGGCUGCAUUUCCAAGGACAGCACCGUGUGCCAGGGAAAAAAUUUUAGUAUAGAAGAUGAAGCAGUGAAAAAACAAAGAUGAAGCCAUCAUGAACCUCCAAGCAAAGUGCAUUACUGUAUAUGGGAUGUUUAGCAAUAAACUAGGAUUGUUAGCAUACCUCCAACUCACAAA